AGAGUUUGAUCCUGGCUCAGAUUGAACGCUGGCGGCAUGCCUUGCACAUGCAAGUCGAACGGUAACAGGUCUUCGGAUGCUGACGAGUGGCGAACGGGUGAGUAAUACAUCGGAACGUGCCCAGUAAUGGGGGAUAGCUCGGCGAAAGCCGGAUUAAUACCGCAUACGCCCUGAGGGGGAAAGUGGGGGACCGCAAGGCCUCACGUUAUUGGAGCGGCCGAUGGCUGAUUAGCUAGUUGGUAGGGUAAAGGCCUACCAAGGCGACGAUCAGUAGCUGGUCUGAGAGGACGAUCAGCCACACUGGGACUGAGACACGGCCCAGACUCCUACGGGAGGCAGCAGUGGGGAAUUUUGGACAAUGGGGGAAACCCUGAUCCAGCAAUGCCGCGUGUGCGAAGAAGGCCUUCGGGUUGUAAAGCACUUUUGUCAGGGAAGAAAUCCUUUGGGCUAAUACCCUAGGGGGAUGACGGUACCUGAAGAAUAAGCACCGGCUAACUACGUGCCAGCAGCCGCGGUAAUACGUAGGGUGCAAGCGUUAAUCGGAAUUACUGGGCGUAAAGCGUGCGCAGGCGGUUGUGUAAGACAGGUGUGAAAUCCCCGGGCUUAACCUGGGAAUUGCAUUUGUGACUGCACGACUAGAGUGUGUCAGAGGGGGGUGGAAUUCCACGUGUAGCAGUGAAAUGCGUAGAUAUGUGGAGGAACACCAAUGGCGAAAGGCAGCCCCCUUGGGAUAACACUGACGCUCAUGCACGAAAGCGUGGGAGCAAAACAGGAUUAGAUACCCUGGUAGUCCACGCCCC
rnacentral:rRNA from 1 species